UAGGUGAAGAGCAGCAGAGAAAGCCACGGGUCCAGCCACAGCGCCCUCGAGUGUAGUCGUGAAAGACUGGAGGUGGGGUGUAGGGGACAAGCGCUCAAUCGGCCGUGUGUUGGUGGUUGUUGACCCUGGUUGGUGGGCAGCAAAGCAAGGUAAGCUCCCAAGGAGGGAGGGGAUCUGAGAGGGUUGCCCUACUUUUAGGAAUAUUUAAACAUUUACAUGACAAAAGGUUUUAAAAAAAUAAAUAAUGAUAAAAAGUAAGUAAAUUAAAGACCUACUGGUCUUACAGAAUUGGUCAGAAGUGAUGGAGUAAGAGUUAUGCUUUCUCUUUUUAAGGGCUUUUGCUUCCCCCCACAUCCCCUUCCCUUACUGUAAGGACAAGAAAUAACACUGGUGUAGCAGUCAAAGGGAAUGAAAUCUGCCUUAGAAUUCAGGGAAAAGGCUACUCCAUGCUGUUUUCUGGACAAACUGUAACAGUUACUCUGUGUAAUAGUUACCCGUCCGGAGUGCAGCUAGAUGUUGGGAGGGACCGUCCACCACUCCCAUCAUGCAGUCGCAUAAGGGGAGCAACCUGUGUGCCCAGGAUCGUGGGCGCUGACCGUGUACCUUUAUGCAGGAACCGUGACCUUCCCAUUUGUUCUUGUUUGUAAGACGAUGAAGGGCCCGUUCUUUGUCUUUAGAUGAUUUUCUUGGGGAAGAGAGGAAUAGUUAUUCGUCUGUGAACAGCAGAACACUAAGCUGUCAUUGUCUGGCUUCUGCUUUGCUCAGCCAGAGAUUCAGCGCGGCCUACUUGGGUAUCGUGGGUGCCUCUGAGACACCUGCCGUUGAGGGGCUGUCAGAAUACCGGGGCUGCUCGUGGCCUCCUCAGCAAACUGUUGUAGAGAAAGAGCCUUUGGCGGAACAGCGGACACGGGGACACUCUCGCCCCCUUGAAAUGCUGAUCAUCUGCCUGGGGCUGUUGUUCGAUUUUACCCUAACCCACCACUGGGGUUUCCACCGUGGACGCGACAGCCUGCCUUCCAGGGAGGACAGGUGUGGCAGCUGCGGUGGCCUCGAGCAGACACACCCAGACACACCCGAGGUCACGGGGAGCCGGGAGAGCAACCGGGGCCAUGCCCAUGGGCGGGCAAUGUGCUCCUGUGUCUCCAGGUGGCCUUAGGGUCACAUCUUUUCAUGCAUUUUCUUUUUCCUCUGUCACAUUUCUCUUCGUUUCUUUGCUUUUUAUUUGACAUUAAGUAAAAAAGUGGACUUUUAGGGGCGCCUGGGUAGCACAGUCGUUAAGCGUCUGUCUUCGGCUCAGGGCGUGAUCCCGGCGUUCUGGGAUCGAGCCCCACAUCAGGUUCCUCCGCUGGGAGCCUGCUUCUUCCUCUCCCACUCCCCCUGCUUGUGUUCCCUCUCUCGCUGGCUGUCUCUCUGUCAAAUAAAUAAAUAAAAUCUUUAAAAAAAAAAAAGUGG
rnacentral:lncRNA from 1 species